rnacentral:rRNA from 1 species
AAUGAACGCUGGCGGCGUGCCUAACACAUGCAAGUUGAGCGGUAAGGCCCCUUCGGGGGUACACGAGCAGCGAACGGGUGAGUAUCGCGUGGGUAAUCUACCUCGAGGUGGGGGAUAGCCCCGGGAAACCGGGGGUAAUACCGCAUGAGUCCUCGAUGACAUAAGUCGAUGAGGGGAAAGGCGGGGAUCCUUCGGGACCUGUCGCCUUGGGAUGAGCCCGCGUCCGAUUAGCUAGUUGGUGGGGGUAAUGGCCUACCAAGGCAACGAUCGGUAGCCGGCCUGAGAGGGUGAACGGCCACAUUGGGACUGAGACACGGCCCAGACUCCUACGGGAGGCAGCAGUGGGGAAUUUUGGGCAAUGGGGGAAACCCUGACCCAGCGACGCCGCGUGGAGGAUGACGGCCUUCGGGUUGUAAACUCCUGUCAGGUGGGAAGAAGAGCUUGUCGGUUAAUACCCGGCAGGAAUUGACGGUACCACCAAAGGAAGCCCCGGCUAACUCCGUG